rnacentral:rRNA from 1 species
AGAGUUUGAUCCUGGCUCAGAUUGAACGCUGGCGGCAUGCCUUACACAUGCAAGUCGAACGGCAGCACGGGAGCAAUCCUGGUGGCGAGUGGCGAACGGGUGAGUAAAGUAUCGGAACGUGCCCAGUCGUGGGGGAUAACGUAGCGAGAGUUACGCUAAUACCGCAUACGAUCUAUGGAUGAAAGCGGGGGAUCGCAAGACCUCGCGCGAUUGGAGCGGCUGAUAUCAGAUUAGGUAGUUGGUGGGGUAAAGGCUCACCAAGCCGACGAUCUGUAGCUGGUCUGAGAGGACGACCAGCCACACUGGGACUGAGACACGGCCCAGACUCCUACGGGAGGCAGCAGUGGGGAAUUUUGGACAAUGGGCGCAAGCCUGAUCCAGCCAUGCCGCGUGCAGGAUGAAGGCCUUCGGGUUGUAAACUGCUUUUGUACGGAACGAAAAGGUUUGGCCUAAUAA